UAAAGUCUGUAACGCGUAAACGUAUACAUCUCUUUUUUUUUUUGGACAAAAAACGUAUACAUCUCUAUAUAAGUAAGGAAGAAGUGCAUUGAUUAGAUAAUAAUCGGCUGAAUUUUGAAAUUGGGAUUCUAGGGUUAAUUUUGAAGUCGAAUCUGCUAGGGUUAAUCAUCAUCUAAAGGAGAAUGGGGAACUGUUUAACUGGAGAUGUGGCCGGGGGCAAACAAGCCAUCGGAGGGGUCCAGCAGAGGCCCACAUCGACCACCACAAACAAUGCGGCGCAAAACGACGCCGUCGAUUUCUUCUUCAGAUCUCGUGGUCAAUAUCCUCUCUUCUCACAGAUUGAGUUGUCUUUGUCGGCUUCAAACUUGAUUGACCGUGACAUCACAUCAAAGAGUGACCCAAUGGCUGUCAUGUAUUUGAGGAAGAAGGAUGGGAAGCUUGAGGAAAUUGGCCGCACUGAAGUCAUACUCAAUAGCUUGAAUCCAAACUGGAUUGAGAAGAUUACCGUCUCUUUCCAGUUCGAAACUGUUCAGACAUUAGUCUUUCACGUGUUUGAUGUCGAUACCAGAUAUCACAAUGUGCCAGUGAAGACACUAAAGCUGAAGGAGCAGGAUUACUUGGGAGAAGCGACAUGUGUUCUCUCCGAGGUUAUGACUAAACCCAACCGGUCCAUGACAUUAAACCUUCACGGUGAUUUCGGGGCUGGUGUGAGUAGAAAGUUGGGAACACUCUCUCUCCAAGCCGAAGAGACCGUUGCUUCCAAAACCGUCGUCGAGAUGAAUCUUCGCUCUGUCAAUUUGGAUAACAAGGACUUGUUCUCCAAGAGUGAUCCGUUUCUAAGAAUCUCAAGGUUGGUUGAGAACAGUAUAGUAGUUCCCGUAUGUCGGACUGAGGUGGUUGACAACAACCUCAACCCAAUUUGGAAGCCUGUAUGCUUGACUAUGCAACAAUUUGGAAGCAAAGAUACCCCAUUGCUUAUCGAGUGUUUAGAUUUCAAUACCAGUGGGAAUCAUGAGCUUAUUGGGAGGACAGAGAAAUCAGUAGCUGAAUUAGAGAGACUUUGUCAACAAAGAGAGGCUAUAAACUUUGUGUAUCCAUCUACAAGCCACGGUCGCAACAAGGUUCUGAAAGGACAGCUCAUUGUGGAUCGUUUUGUGGAGAAAAUUCAGUACAGCUUUCUUGACUACAUCUCCAGCGGAUUUGAACUUAAUUUCAUGGUUGCAGUUGACUUCACUGCUUCAAAUGGUGAUCCCCGUACUCCAAGUUCUUUGCACUACAAUGAUCCAUCAGGCAGAUUAAACUCUUAUCAGAAGGCUAUAAUGGAAGUAGGAGAGGUCAUCCAGUUUUAUGAUUCCGAUAGGCGUUUUCCUGCUUGGGGUUUUGGAGGAAGAACAGCGGAUGGUCACGUGUCACAUGCUUUUAACUUGAAUGGAGCUUCAUAUGGCGAUGAGGUGGUUGGAGUUGAAGGAAUCAUGUCAGCUUAUUCAAGUGCCCUUGCAAAUGUUGCUCUAGCGGGACCAACUCUGUUCAGCCACGUGGUCGACAAGGCUGCUCACACCGCUUCACAGUCACUCUCACAAAACAGUCCCAAGUACUUUGUUCUCCUAAUCAUUACGGAUGGAGUCUUAACAGACAUGGCUGGUACAAUAGAUGCAUUGGUGAGAGCUUCUGAUCUCCCAUUGUCAGUCCUUAUCGUUGGUGUGGGAAACACAGACUUCACACAAAUGGAGAUUCUUGAUGCUGAUAAAGGUCGUCGGUUAGAGAGUUCUACCGGUCGGGUGGCUACACGGGACAUUGUUCAGUUCGUUCCUAUGAAAGAAGUCCACAGUGGACAAGUGUCUGUGGUGCAAGCACUUCUAGAAGAACUUCCCGGCCAGUUUCUGAGCUAUGUCCGUUGCAGAAAUAUCAAUCCGGUCGGAUCUCCUGCUAUUUGAGCUUAACCAGUAGCCUCUCUUUAGAUUUCAUCUUCUAUUUUCGCAUUUUAUUGUCACUUUGGGUUGGAAAAACAAAUUCAGAUUUGCUAGGAAAAUGUAUAUACUUGGAAUUUAUAUAAUUGCCUUCAACAAUAUCACUUGAUUAACUGGGUUAAGAUUACUUGAUUUACAAGUA